rnacentral:rRNA from 1 species
AGAACGAACGCUGGCGGCAGGCUUAACACAUGCAAGUCGAACGCCCUCGCAAGGGGGAGUGGCAGACGGGUGAGUAACACGUGGGAACAUACCCUUUGGUUCGGAACAACGCCGGGAAACUGGCGCUAAUACCGGAUACGCCCGAGAGGGGAAAGGCUUGACCGCCGAAGGAUUGGCCCGCGUUCGAUUAGCUUGUUGGUGAGGUAACGGCUCACCAAGGCGACGAUCGAUAGCUGGU